UACGUAGGGCGCAAGCGUUAUCCGGAAUUAUUUGGGCGUAAAGAGCUCGUAGGCGGUUUGUCGCGUCUGCCGUGAAAAGUCCGGGGCUCAACUCCGGAUCUGCGGUGGGUACGGGCAGACUAGAGUGAUGUAGGGGAGACUGGAAUUCCUGGUGUAGCGGUGAAAUGCGCAGAUAUCAGGAGGAACACCGAUGGCGAAGGCAGGUCUCUGGGCAUUAACUGACGCUGAGGAGCGAAAAGCUGGGGAGCGAAACAGG
rnacentral:rRNA from 1 species